GUUGUUGGUGGAGUAAAAUCCAUGAGUAACGUAGCUAACGCGUGAAGUUGACCGCCUGGGGAGUACGGUCGCAAGAUUAAAACUCAAAUGAAUUGACGGGGGCCCGCACAAGCGGUGGAUUAUGUGGAUUAAUUCGAUGCAACGCGAAAAACCUUACCUGGCCUUGACAUGUACGGAACUUUCUAGGGAUAGAUUGGUGCCUUCGGGAACCGUAACACAGGUGCUGCAUGGCUGUCGUCAGCUCGUGUCGUGAGAUGUUGGGUUAAGUCCCGCAACGAGCGCAACCCUUGCCAAUAAUUGCCAUCAUUUAGUUGGGCACUUUAUUGGGACUGCCGGUGACAAACCGGAGGAAGGUGGGGAUGACGUCAAGUCCUCAUGGCCCUUAUGGCCAGGGCUUCACACGUAAUACAAUGGUCGGUACAGAGGGUCGCCAACCCGCGAGGGGGAGCAAAUCCCAGAAAGCCGAUCGUAGUCCGGAUUGUUCUCUGCAACUCGAGAGCAUGAAGUCGGAAUCGCUAGUAAUCGCGGAUCAGAAUGUCGCGGUGAAUACGUUCCCGGGCCUUGUACACACCGCCCGUCACACCAUGGGAGUGGGUUUUACCAGAAGUAGGUAGUCUAACCUUCGGGGGGACGCUUACCACGGUAGUAUUCAUGACUGGGGUGAAGUCGUAACAAGGUAGCCGUAAUCU
rnacentral:rRNA from 1 species